rnacentral:rRNA from 1 species
ACGGCUCAGUAACACGUAGUCAACCUAACCUAUGGACGGGAAUAACCUCGGGAAACUGAGAAUAAUGCCCGAUAGAACACUAUACCUGGAAUGGUUUGUGUUCCAAAUGAUUUAUCGCCAUAGGAUGGGACUGCGGCCUAUCAGUUUGUUGGUGAGGUAAUGGCCCACCAAGACUAUUACAGGUACGGGCUCUGAGAGGAGUAGCCCGGAGAUGGGUACUGAGACACGGACCCAGGCCCUAUGGGGCGCAGCAGGCGAGAAAACUUUGCAAUGUGCGAAAGCACGACGAGGUUAAUCCGAGUGAUUUGUGCUAAACGAAUCUUUUGUUAGUCCUAGAAACACUAACGAAUAAGGGGUGGGCAAGUUCUGGUGUCAGCCGCCGCGGUAAAACCAGCACCUCAAGUGGUCAGGAUGAUUAUUGGGCCUAAAGCAUCCGUAGCCGGCUCUGUAAGUUUUCGGUUAAAUCUGUACGCUUAACGUACAGGCUGCCGGGAAUACUGCAGAGCUAGGGAGUGGGAGAGGUAGACGGUACUCGGUAGGAAGUGGUAAAAUGCUUUGAUCUAUCGAUGACCACCUGUGGCGAAGGCGGUCUACCAGAACACGUCCGACGGUGAGGGAUGAAAGCUGGGGGAGCAAACCGGAUUAGAUACCCGGGUAGUCCCAGCUGUAAACUAUGCAAACUCAGUGAUGCAUUGGCUUGUGGCCAAUGCAGUGCUGCAGGGAAGCCGAUAAGUUUGCCGCCUGGGAAGUACGUACGCAAGUAUGAAACUUAAAGGAAUUGGCGGGGGAGCAC